UACGUAGGGUGCGAGCGUUAAUCGGAAUUACUGGGCGUAAAGUGUGCGCAGGCGGCUUCGCAAGUCGAGUGUGAAAUCCCCGAGCUUAACUUGGGAAUUGCGCUCGAAACUACGGAGCUGGAGUGUGGCAGAGGAUGGUGGAAUUCCCAGUGUAGAGGUGAAAUUCGUAGAUAUUGGGAAGAACACCGAUGGCGAAGGCAGCCAUCUGGACCGACACUGACGCUUAGGCGCGAAAGCGUGGGGAGCAAACAGG
rnacentral:rRNA from 1 species